AGCCAAUGGGUUUUUGGUUUGAGUUUGUCUUGCCUUCACCUACUCAACAUGGCAUCUUAUUGGCUGGUUUGCGUAGCUUGCUUACGAGGGGGGAUGUUCCAGUUAGAAUCGUCCCAGUGAACAAGCACCAAACCAGCGAAUAAAUCUACAUGACUGGUGCUACAUGUUGGAGUUCCGUGUCGAUGACUGAUUGUACACAACGCAAGAAGAGUACUGUUACACGCACAGGGGAAAGAAAAGUGUUCCCAUUUUGAAUCAUUUUAUUUGUCUGAAAAGACGAUCUCUGCCUACCUGGUGAACAGGGAGAUCUGUGACUAAAUCGAGUGUGCCUACUGCUGUGGCCAAUACUGUCAAAGAAUACAGCAAAGAGCUGCUUUUUUACGAGAACAACAUGAAUUUGUGCCUGAGGCAGAUGUGGUGCAAUUCGUGUUUCACCAUCAGGUGGAAGAAAGUGUCCCCUCUCUCUGGUCAGUCUCAUCAGAGGAAAGAAAGAGCGGCAGAUCUUGGCUUGCUUUUUGACUCCGAAAGUGAACUUGACUCAGAAAAGGAAGAAAGCCGUGACAGACAUGUUUCAAAUGAUCCCAUUUAUGCUCAACAUAGCCACUGCAUAUGCACACUCACUCCGGAAUGGGAAAAAAUAUCCUUUCUAUUAACUCAGCUAAGUUAAAUUAUAUUAUUCUUACCAUAAAAUAAUAUUUAAAAAAUAUUAGUACAGGACUUAUAAGCAUAUCUUAUGUGUCUUAUGUGCAUAGCCAGAUAACAUAAUGUAGACCAUCUCAUAUUCUAUUCUUCUUAAAUGUUCAUAUCAUAAUAUUUCUUUAGACCUGACUAAAAUAAAUAAUGACUGUACACUCUAAAAAUUAGAGUUUCAAAAAUGGUUAUUCUAUGAUCCUCAAAGUUCUUCAAAGAACGUUCUUGGCACUGAAAAUUGCCCCCAGAAUGUUAUUCUAAGAACCCCAUAAGAGGUGUGGUUCAUCGAGGAACCAUCCUCCCCCCUUACCUCUUCAAUGAAAAUCCCAUAGGCCUCUACAUUACGGACAAGGUAAAUAGUCAUAUGUUCUAAACCGCUCUGGUGACAAACAAACUUUUCUAUCCUGUUUCCAAUCCUCCACAUGGUUGGGUGAACCUAUUCAAGUAAGUAAAUACAUAUUCUAAUUUAAAUGUAAAUAAAACUAUGUAUUGUUAGCUAACCAGCUACAGUGCAGGCUAACUAAAAUGAGCUGAAUGCAUUUGUAGGUAGCUAGCUAACAGCGAUGGAGGAAGGUGAAAGGAUAGCAGCCCCAACUGUUAAAGUGAGAGAGUAGACUAUUCUGGAUAGGGCAGGUACUUUUGAGUAGUUCCGGUCCCUAGAAGUGAGGAGAGACAUAUAUAGACAUAUAUAGUAACAUAAUAUUCAGUGCUGUCUAAUUUGAGCAAAAAGUCUGUUUCUUGUGAUGUUUUCUGUCUUCAGAUACAGAGAGCAGUGAAGCCUGUCUGCAGAUGAAGAGGUCCCAAUGAAGUGCAGAGGUUAUCAGUCCUGGUCCUGGGGACACAAAGGGGUGCACAUUUUUGUUUUUUCCUUAGCACUACAGAGCUGAUUCAAAUGAUUAACUCAUCAUCAAGCUUAAAGGGGUAUUUAUAUUUAUUUGUGAUGCUAUCCUUGAUAUGACAUCUUGUCAUAUGCUACACAUGCAUCCAUCUAUCCAAUGUUAUCAUGAUUUGUUAUUAGUAAUAUUAUACUUUAGUAAUCCACAAAAAAAGAAAGUAUAAUAAUGACAUUAUCUUUCAUAUUCCUAGAUACCUUGCAACUGGAGAUUCCUUCAAAACAAUCUGUCUACAGUUACUGUGUAGGGCACUGAAAGGUUGGGUGACCAGGGCCAUCUGGGACUGCUUUCUGGGGGAAUUGAGGCUUGUGAAGGCUACCCGUGUCCUGCAUAACGGCAGCUCGCCGCCGUGUGCCAGAGGAGAAGUCUGCUGCUCUGCAGGAUGUUUCAAGGGUGCUGGCCAACAACACAGUACUGGAGGCAAUCCGUGUGCGGGAGAUAUUCACCUCCUACUUCUUCGAAGAGGGUGUUGUUUCCAGGCAACACCAUAGACUACACUAUGCACAACCAAAGGCUCUUUUAAGAGCCAUUCACAUUGUAAUGAGAGUAUUCUUCCAUUUACUUAGCUAUGUCAACUGCAAUUAUUUCAAUCCCCAGUUUCUCUCCCUUUGUUUUCUACUUAACAGGUGAGGGUGCUGUUCAGGUAAGGGUGAUGUCUGUACGAAAACAAAAUAGGCUCUUAAGAGUCACCCAUAUUGAAAAUAUUUAGACACCCUAUAACCCACACCUACACACUUGUGUAUCAAUCGGAUUGAUGGAUUGUGUUGUGCAGUAAGCAGGCUCAGGUGUAUAACUGUGUAUAACCUUAUUUUCUCAAUAACAGUCUCUCUCCUUCAUUUCAUGCCUCUCCCCCCUUCUCCCUGAAUCCUCUGUAUCAGCUGUGUCGGUGAACCCAUCCCGCAUCUGAACUGGCGACAUACUGUAGCGUCAUCGUCACCUCACAAGCUCUUAAGAUAACAUUUCGGGCCAACUGGGGGCCCAAGGCUUGUUAGGAGACACCGCUAGACACACUAUUAUGUAACUGUGAUGGAAUUAGAGAAUCUUAAGUUUAGUAGCACUGUAAUUCAUUAAUCAUAUGCUGUCUUCUCUGUUCUCACCAGUUUUUUACACUCUCACACCUCUCUCCCCACCUCUUUCUUCCCCUGUUUUUAUGUAUACCAGAUGUGCAUUGAAGUACAGAUUGAACUUGUAUUUAUAAUAUAAUAUUACAAUUCUAAUAUAAAUAAUGCAUGUAUUAUAUAUAUUUUUUUAUAAUACUUGGAUAAUGAACUUCUUUCAAUAAAGCGUUUCACAUUCUCUA